UUCCGACAGAAAAAUAAUGUACGUGUCAGAGUCGGUUUACAGAUUUUCGCCUGAAGAUCUCCACCACCGCCUAAUGCCGCCCCCUGAACCUCCACCGCCGAGAUGGAGGAGAAGCAUAUCGAACAAUAUUCUUGUCAGCGGAAACGGACUCUUUCAUUAGUGGAGUCAUUCAUAGUUUUGGAGGGGUGGAAAAGGUUGAUAAUA